CCUACGGGCGGCAGCAGUGAGGAAUAUUGGUCAAUGGGCGGGAGCCUGAACCAGCCAAGCCGCGUGAGGGAUGACUGCCCUAUGGGUUGUAAACUUCUUUUAUAUGGGAAUAAAAUGUUCCACGUGUGGGAUUUUGUAUGUACCAUAUGAAUAAGGAUCGGCUAACUCCGUGCCAGCAGCCGCGGUAAUACGGAGGAUCCGAGCGUUAUCCGGAUUUAUUGGGUUUAAAGGGAGCGUAGGUGGAUUGUUAAGUCAGUUGUGAAAGUUUGCGGCUCAACCGUAAAAUUGCAGUUGAAACUGGCAGUCUUGAGUACAGUAGAGGUGGGCGGAAUUCGUGGUGUAGCGGUGAAAUGCUUAGAUAUCACGAAGAACUCCGAUUGCGAAGGCAGCUCACUGGACUGCAACUGACACUGAGGCUCGAAAGUGUGGGUAUCAAACAGGAUUAGAUACCCCGGUAGUC
rnacentral:rRNA from 1 species